UACGAAGGGAGCUAGCGUUGUUCGGAAUCACUGGGCGUAAAGCGCACGUAGGCGGAUGUGUCAGUCAGGGGUGAAAUCCCGGAGCUCAACUUCGGAACUGCCCUUGAUACAGCACGUCUUGAGUCCGGAAGAGGUGGGUGGAAUUCCUAGUGUAGAGGUGAAAUUCGUAGAUAUCGGGAGGAACACCAGUGGCGAAGGCGACUACCUGGCCUGUUCUUGACGCUGAGGCGCGAAAGCUAGGGGAGCAAACGGG
rnacentral:rRNA from 1 species